rnacentral:rRNA from 1 species
AAUCUGCCCCUUGGUUCGGAAUAACAGUUAGAAAUGACUGCUAAUACCGGAUGAUGUCUUCGGACCAAAGAUUUAUCGCCAAGGGAUGAGCCCGCGUAGGAUUAGCUAGUUGGUGAGGUAAAAGCUCACCAAGGCGACGAUCCUUAGCUGGUCUGAGAGGAUGAUCAGCCACACUGGGACUGAGACACGGCCCAGACUCCUACGGGAGGCAGCAGUGGGGAAUAUUGGACAAUGGGCGAAAGCCUGAUCCAGCAAUGCCGCGUGAGU